rnacentral:rRNA from 1 species
ACGGAAGGCAGCAGUGAGGAAUAUUGGUCAAUGGGCGAGAGCCUGAACCAGCCAAGUAGCGUGAAGGAUGACUGCCCUACGGGUUGUAAACUUCUUUUAUACGGGAAUAAAAAAGGCCACGCGUGGCCUCUUGCAUGUACCGUAUGAAUAAGCAUCGGCUAAUUCCGUGCCAGCAGCCGCGGUAAUACGGAAGAUGCGAGCGUUAUCCGGAUUUAUUGGGUUUAAAGGGAGCGUAGGCGGGUCUUUAAGUCAGUGGUCAAAGCGUGUGGCUCAACCAUACCACGCCAUUGAUACUGGAGACCUUGAGUGCACAUAAGGAUGGUGGAAUUCGUCGUGUAGCGGUGAAAUGCUUAGAUAUGACGAAGAACUCCGAUUGCGAAGGCAGCCUACUGUAGCGUUACUGACGCUAAAGCUCGAAAGUGUGGGUAUCGAACAGGAUUAGAUACCCUGGUA